UACGUAGGGUGCAAGCGUUAAUCGGAAUUACUGGGCGUAAAGCGUGCGCAGGCGGUUUUGUAAGUCUGUCGUGAAAUCCCCGGGCUCAACCUGGGAAUUGCGAUGGAGACUGCAAGGCUAGAAUCUGGCAGAGGGGGGUAGAAUUCCACGUGUAGCAGUGAAAUGCGUAGAGAUGUGGAGGAACACCGAUGGCGAAGGCAGCCCCCUGGGUCAAGAUUGACGCUCAUGCACGAAAGGCGUGGGGAGCAAACGAGGAU
rnacentral:rRNA from 1 species